rnacentral:rRNA from 1 species
GGGGAAUCUUGGACAAUGGGCGCAAGCCUUAUCCAGCCAUACCGCGUGGGUGAAGAAGGCCUUCGGGUUGUAAAGCCCUUUUGUUGGGAACGAAAAUCAUUCGGUUAAUACCCGAUUGUUCUGACGGUACCCAAAGAAUAAGCACCGGCUAACUACGUGCCAGCAGCCGCGGUAAUACGUAGGGUGCGAGCGUUAAUCGGAAUUACUGGGCGUAAAGCGUGCGCAGGCGGUUUUGUAAGACAGGCGUGAAAUCCCCGGGCUCAACCUGGGAACUGCGCUUGUGACUGCAAGACUAGAGUACGGCAGAGGGGGGUGGAAUUCCACGUGUAGCAGUGAAAUGCGUAGAGAUGUGGAGGAACACCAAUGGCGAAGGCAGCCCCCUGGGUCGAUACUGACGCUCAUGCACGAAAGCGUGGGGAGCAAACA